GGUUUGUGUGUGGCGGGGUGGGGAAUUCCCAAGGGGUGUCAACUGCUCGAUGGAAACCCCCGCGCGGGCUGCCCUUGUGGCGCUUCUUCAGCUAUACAACCAAGAUACCUGAUUGACUUGUGCAAGAUCAGACUAUUGACAUCUUAGACAGGAAGGAAAUCUUCCUCAGACUGUCAGUUCAAGACUGACUUGCAAAUGAAAGCUGAGGAAACAUGGUGGACAAGGAGGCUGUGGGAAGAUCUGACUUUGCAGAAGCAGCAUUACCACCUUGCUGCCCACCAUGAAUGAGAAUUGCCAGCUUUUUCUCCCAGAAUCUGACUCUUGAAAGACAAGUUGCACGUUUUACUCCCAAUAUAUAGCCAUAUAUCCCAGCCUCUUUCUUGCUCCCUUCUCACUCUCUCCUUCCCUCAAGCUCAUUAAUUCUGUUUCGAUGGGAGCUUCCGAGAGAAAUGGAAUGAAUCAUUCAGCAAGGAGAAAACAUCAACCAUCUAGAAUCCUCAACAUUGAUUUAGAAUCCACUUGAUUAUGGUUUAAAUCAUGACUAAAUAAACAACGCAUGGAAGAGGGAAAAGGGAAAAGUGGCUCACCUAGUGAGGGCCAAGGAAACAAACCGAAACGUCUGUGUGCACACUAAGCCAGGGCCUGAGGAAAAUAUACAAAAUGUAAAGCUC